UUCCCAAAAUGAUGGGCGUAAAAAUUUUCCUCUCAUUAAAAUAUUUGAUUCAUCCCACGAUCAUAUAACUUAAGGGCAAGCUGAUGCGUAAAGUUUUUACUCAAAUUAUAAACAUAAAGAAAUAAAUGAAAUAAAUGUAGGCACGCAAUGCGUACGCAAAUGAGUCCCAUCUUCUGUACAACUAUAAUUUCUACGGCAAAAGCAAAAGGCAAUGUUCAAGAUUAAUUCGCUUAUUUUAAUUCUUAUACUUGCGUAGAUGUAAGAGAAGUUUGGAACAGCUAAAUAACAGAAGAGAAAUUCUUCUGCUUCUUUUUUCUCUUUGGCUUCCAUUUAAGAAUGAAAUGUGACAGUCACCCUGUCACCAUCUCCCUCUCAUUUUCUCACGGUUAUGUUAUAAGGGGCGUCUUGUUCCCUCCGCUUCAAGGUUGAGAAACAGGUCGAUAAUAAUGUUGCGAUAAAGUCAGAAAAUAAAAGUUGAAUCAGUCUUUAAGUCAGCUUAAUUCACCUCCCCUGCGUUUCUCUGUGUUUUCCGUUUGUUCACUUUUCAUGUCAUCUAGCUACCAAGGAACCUGUUUAAUUUUAAAGAGGUCACAUCUUGCUUCUAAUGGUGAGCCUUAGCUACAAAAUGUUCUUUAAAAAAAUAUGUAAAAAACGGCAUGAGGUCGGGUAGUGUAGUGGAUUUAACUUGCGAACGCUAAGAGCUCGAACAGAGUUCGGCGCCGCGCUAAAUUCCAGUACGUGUCCUAAAUUUUCUUUUGGAUUUUUUUACCAAAUCGUCUUCUUUCUCCUUAUGAGAAAGAAAAAAGGUUACUGUUUAUAGGUAUGGUGACAAAGAGAAAAGGAGAAGGGAGCAAAUUUUCUAGAACCUUUUCAUUGAAGUAUUUGGACUGUGAUCAUACAAGAAUCGUCUGGGUUCGAGUAAACAUUUCUAAAAUUACAAUUUAAGAAUGGUUGCACCUCCCUAUUGGACUUUACUAGGAUAAAAUUCAGGCUUCAGCUUGAAAUCCUUUUUCCUUCUCGGUGGAACGAGACUAACCGAGAAGCUUAGAGUCGAUUAUUAUGAAUCCGCCGUUUAAAGCAGAAAACUAAUUUGAAUUACAAAUAUUGUAAAAUUAAUAUUCAUAUUUUCGCUCAGUCUUGCACGUGGAAGAAGCUUACGAGCUGUAAGAAAUUUCAGCGUCUUUUCCAGCUUUUAUGGAUUCAGGAGACCCAUUUUUUUACCUUAUUACCUUGGAUAUCGUCAGUUCUGUCAAGGUCAGCGAGUGUUUCAUUUGCUGAAUCGCGGGGUUAACAUUUGAUCGUCGUCGAGGAUUCAUGACUUUGAUUUUGUCCAGACUUUUCUUCAGCAUCAAACAUAGGAUGAAAAAGUAUCGAAAUCAAGAAGAUCACGGGAUAACAUCGGACAAGAAGAACUGCAAGAAAGAAAUGGGAACCCAUCGAAAUGAAGAAAUUCAAGGGAGGAAAGAAAAAUUAGACGGAUUCUAACAAGGUAGAAAGAUAUUCUCCCGCGGCUUUUGGAAGUGUAGCUGAUUUCAUGAGAUAAGUAUUGACCUAGGAUAUAAAAUAAACGAAAAAAGAUGUUGUUCAGUCUAAGUAAAACACUUAAAAUAUACACAAAGACUUGGUCCUACAUUAAAGAGGAAAGAAAAAUUUGUUUUGGACUCUGGAGUGUCUUUCUACAAGAGAUGGGAGACUUAAGGCUGACACACCAUGGGGCAUUGUCACCGUACAACCUCUUCCCUAGUCUUGAUCUGUGAUGCAAAGACUUGGUCCUCAAAAAAUGGGGUAAGACUGUUUCGGACACUGGACAGUCUUUAUGUGCUGAUCGGAUGUUUGACUUUGUACAAGAGAUGGGAGACUUAAACCUGGCCCUUUAAAGGGUUGGUGU